rnacentral:rRNA from 1 species
UUGCCUCAGUAACGGCGAGUGAAGCGGCAACAGCUCAAAUUUGAAAUCUGGCCUUCGGGUCCGAGUUGUAAUUUGUAGAGGGAGUUUCGGAUGCGGCGCCGGGCUAAGUUCCUUGGAACAGGGCGUCAUAGAGGGUGAGAAUCCCGUACGUGGCCGGCGAUCAACUCCAUGUGAAACCCCUUCGACGAGUCGAGUUGUUUGGGAAUGCAGCUCAAAAUGGGUGGUAAAUUUCAUCUAAAGCUAAAUACCGGCCAGAGACCGAUAGCGCACAAGUAGAGUGAUCGAAAGAUGAAAAGCACUUUGGAAAGAGAGUUAAAAAGUACGUGAAAUUGUUGAAAGGGAAGCGCUUGCAACCAGACUUGCUCGCGGGCAUCAGCCUCCCUUCGGGGUGGUGUACUUGCCCGUGAUCAGGCCAGCAUCGGUUCUGGCGGUUGGAUAAAGGCCCUGGGAAUGUAGCUCCCCUCGGGGAGUGUUAUAGCCCAGGGUGCAAUGCGGCCAGCCUGGACCGAGGACCGCGCUUCGGCUAGGAUGCUGGCGUAAUGGUUGUCAGCGACCCGUCUUGAAACACGGACCAAGGAGUCUAACAUCUAUGCGAGUGUUUGGGUGUCAAACCCAUGCGCGGAAUGAAAGUGAACGGAGGUGGGAACCCCUUCCAGGGUGCACCAUCGACCGAUCCUGAUGUCUUCGGAUGGAUUUGAGUAGGAGCAUAGCUGUUGGGACCCGAAAGAUGGUGAACUAUGCCUGAAUAGGGUGAAGCCAGAGGAAACUCUGGUGGAGGCUCGCAGCGGUUCUGACGUGCAAAUCGAUCGUCAAAUUUGGGUAUAGGGGCGAAAGACUAAUCGAACCAUCAGCUACAUAGAUGGGUGGUUANUUGGGUGCGGCUUCNACUGCACACUCAGCUUAUAGACUAANAAGCCACACUGUC